AUAUUGCGCAAUGGAGGAAACUCUGACGCAGCAACGCCGCGUGUAGGAAGAAGGCCCUUUGGGUCGUAAACUACUGUAGCAGGGGAAUAACGAUCCAUCGUGGAUGGAUGUGAAGGUACCCUGAAAGUAAGCGCCGGCUAACUACGUGCCAGCAGCCGCGGUAAUACGUAGGGCGCAAGCGUUGUCCGGAUUCACUGGGUGUAAAGGGUGCGUAGGCGGGAGAAUAAGUCAGUGGUGAAAUCUCACGGCUCAACCGUGAAACUGCCGUUGAUACUGUUUUUCUUGAGUUCGGGAGAGGUUGAUGGAAUUCCAGGUGUAGCGGUGAAAUGCGUAGAUAUCUGGAAGAACACCAGUGGCGAAGGCGGUCAACUGGCCCGAGACUGACGCUGAGGCACGAAAGCGUGGGGAGCGAACAGG
rnacentral:rRNA from 1 species